UUAUAUAGUAAUAUUUUUGAUAUAUCAGCUUAAAUAUGGUAAGCAAGUCUCUACCCUGAAACCGCAAAUUACAGGACUAUCAAAAAUAUUU
rnacentral:ncRNA from 1 species